GUCCUGGCCCUAAACGGUGCGUACUUGCUGUAAGCGGAUUCGACCCCGCUUGUGGCGAAGUUAACACGAUAAGUACGCCGCCUGGGAAGUACGGUCGCAAGAUUAAAACUCAAAGAAAUUGACGGGGGCCUGCACAAGCGGUGGAGUAUGUGGCUUAAUUCGAUGCAACGCGAAGAACCUUACCUGGUCUUGACAUGCACGUAGUAGAAGCCUGAAAGGGUAACGAGGUAGCAAUACCAGCGUGCACAGGUGCUGCAUGGCUGUCGU
rnacentral:rRNA from 1 species